rnacentral:lncRNA from 1 species
GUGAGCUCUGAGUGUUUACCAACACCGUUACAGUGGGACUGCAGGGAUGUGGCAGGGUGCUGUGAGGACAGGCUGGGAAGAGCAGGCGUGUGUGGGCUUGAGCACAAAAUGGUCCUGGGGCAGAGGCAGGAAUGACGGCUGGCCCUGAGGCCAACAUCUUGAAAGAUUGUCCACUCCAGAAACGAAAUUCUUUUUUUUUUUUUUUUUUUUUUGGUACCGGGGAUUGAACUCGGGACCUUGUGCUUGCGAGGCAGGCGCCAGCACCACUGAGAAAUUCUUUUUAUCAGGCGUAAUAAUCCAUACAGGGAAGAUGACAGUAAUUGGGAGAAGCCACUAGCACUGGCCACAGCUUUAAGAGGUGCGCAGCUUCUGACCGGGGGGAACAGGUCGGUGGUGGAGUUGAGCAGACCCCAUGCCAGCUGCCCUGAAGCCCCGCAGCCUGUCCAUUUGUUUGGGGACCCACCUUGGGCUGCCA